UACGUAGGGUGCGAGCGUUGUCCGGAAUUAUUGGGCGUAAAGAGCUCGUAGGCGGCUUGUCGCGUCGGAUGUGAAAGCCCGGGGCUUAACCCCGGGUCUGCAUUCGAUACGGGCAGGCUAGAGUUCGGUAGGGGAGAUCGGAAUUCCUGGUGUAGCGGUGAAAUGCGCAGAUAUCAGGAGGAACACCGGUGGCGAAGGCGGAUCUCUGGGCCGUAACUGACGCUGAGGAGCGAAAGCGUGGGGAGCGAACAAG
rnacentral:rRNA from 1 species